rnacentral:rRNA from 1 species
AUUGAACGCUGGCGGCAUGCCUUACGCAUGCAAGUCGAACGGCAGCACGGGUGCUUGCACCUGGUGGCGAGUGGCGAACAGGUGAGUAAUACAUCGGAACGUACCUUAUCGUGGGGGAUAACGCAGCGAAAGUUGCGCUAAUACCGCAUACGCCCUGAGGGGGAAAGCGGGGGCGCGUAAGGCCUCGCGCGAUUAGAGCGGCCGAUGUCUGAUUAGCUUGUUGGUGAGGUAAAAGGUCACCAAGGCGAUGAUCAGUAGCUGGUCUGAGAGGACGAUCAGCCACACUGGAACUGAGACACGGCCCUGACUCCUACGGGAGGCAGCAGUGGGGAAUUUUGGACGAUGGGGGCAACCCUGAUCCAGCAAUGCCGCGUGAGUGAAGAAGGCCUUCGGGUUGUAAAGCUCUUUUGUCAGGGAAGAAACAGCAGCUCUAACACAGUCUGCGAAUGACGGUACCUGAAGAAUAAGCACCGGCUAACUACGUGCCAGCCGCCGCCGUAA